GUCGUGAGAUGUUGGGUUAAGUCCCGCAACGAGCGCAACCCUUAUCCUAUGUUGCCAGCGGGUAAUGCCGGGGACUCGUAGGAGACUGCCGGGGUCAACUCGGAGGAAGGUGGGGAUGACGUCAAGUCAUCAUGCCCCUUAUGCCCAGGGCUGCAAACACGCUACAAUGGCCGGUACAGAGGGCUGCGAUCUCGCGAGAGUGAGCGAAUCCCACAAAGCCGGUCUCAGUUCGGAUUGGAGUCUGCAACUCGACUCCAUGAAGCCGGAGUUGCUAGUAAUCCCGGAUCAGCACGCCGGGGUGAAUACGUUCCCGGGCCUUGUACACACCGCCCGUCACACCACGAAAGUCGGCAACACCCGAAGCCGGUGGCCUAACCCGUAAGGGAGGGAGCCGUCGAAGGUGGGGUCGGUGAUUGGGGUGAAGUCGUAACAAGGUAGCCGUACCGGAAGGUGCGGCUGGAUCACCUCCUUUCUAAGGAGUAUCUCUCCAUCGUUGGUGGCCAUUGCGUGCCACCCGAUGCGAGACACUUCCAGUUGGUGCACUGGUGUGCUGUCGUGAGUGACGUCGAGGUCGACAGGGAUUCGGUCCCUCCCUCGAUCUGAGCGCACGUCGGCAACGUCUUCUCUUCCGUUUUGAGGGAGUCGGACUUGUGUCUCGACGAUCCCCGACGCCGCUGCGUCGAGCCCGGUUCGAACCGGUUGUUCCGCACGCGUCUGUCGCACCUUGAGAACUGCAGAGCAAGCACGAGCAUCUUUGUUUUUCCAAGCUACUAAGAGCCAACGGUGGAUGCCUUGGCGCCAAGAACCGAUGAAGGACGUGAGUGACUGCGAAAAGCUGCGGGGAGCCGUCGACUAGGCACCGAUCCGCAGAUGU
rnacentral:sRNA from 1 species